GAGGAAACAGCGAAUACGUCAUGGCCAAGGCAACCGGCGCAAUGACACGCAGGGAAGUAGGGGUGAGAGGGCCGGUUAACGCGACACCGUCACACAUUCAGCGGCCUCCCCUGCUCCGGUGGAAACAACCUAAGUCUGUCCAGACUCUCCUUAUGACUCAGGCCCUCCAAUCCGGGAGCAUCCUGGUGAACCUCUUCUGCACCCCCUUCACGCCCGUCCCGUAAUGGGGCGACCAAAACUGAACGCAGACUGCAAACGGCGGAACUGGCAUUUUAUAAGGCUGCAACUUAACUAAUAAAGGCAAGCAUGCCCUCUGGAACUGGUCAUUUCAAACCUGGGGCGCAGGCAUUGACUAUCAAAUCCAGAGACCACCAAUGCUUCCCCAGCCUGUGCAUUUGGUCAGAAUUGCCCGGGGGGCUGGAAACGACUAUUAAAAUUAAUCCUGAGCCUUACACGACCAGGGAGAUUUGCGCAAUGAGAUCCAUACUUGUGUAUCAGCAUGAAUGACAGACAGGAGAGCAGUUCCUGCACGUGAAGACAGCAGCAUGCACUGCGGGCGAAAGGGACCCCACAAAAGCUGGAAUCCUGGUAAGUAACAUUAUUUCUUCAUGUAGUUCUGUAGUUGUGAACUUCCCAUGAUUCAGGACAUUUACAAAGACAGGUGUGAACGGAUCAUUGGGAAUCCGAAUCACCCCAAACACAACCUAUACCGUCUGGGAAACGGUAGUACAGCAUAAAAUCCAGGACCAACAGGCUCCCGGACAGCUUCUUCCACCAGGCCAUUAGACUGAUUAACAAACGCUGAUUCUAUGUUACAUGGACUAUUCCAUUUAAUAGAAAAUUACUGUGAUUGCACAUUUAAAUGAAGACGUAAUGUAAAAAAAUUUUAUUCCUCAUGUAUAUGAAGAAUGUAAAAAAUAAAGUCAAUUCAAUUCAAUAUUUGCAAACUGUCCCAGACUCCAUGAAAGACUGUCAUUGAAACCCUUGUAAGUUCAAUUGAAUUAACCAUGAAUCAGGGUAUCAUAUGCUGCUCUUGAAUAGGGAUUUGGAGGUGGUUACCGAGGUGCAAUAAAUGGUACAGGUGGACAGUGUGGUCAAGCAGGCAUUCGGCAUGCUGGCCUUCAUCAAUCCGGGCACUAAGUACAGGAGUUGGGAUGAUGUUACAGCCCUACAAGUUGUUGAUGAGACUGCUCUUGGAGUACUGUGUGCAGUCCUGGUCACUCCGCUACAGAAAGGAUGUCAUUAACCUUGAGAGGGUUCAGAAAAGAUUGAUGCGGAUGUUACUGGGACUGGAGGGCUUGAGUUACAAGGAGAGGUUGGGCAGGCUACGACUGUUUUCCUGGAGUGAAGGGGGCUGAGGGGCG